rnacentral:rRNA from 1 species
UACAGAGGUCCCAAGCGUUGUUCGGAUUUACUGGGCGUAAAGCGUGCGUAGGUGGCGGAAAAAGUUUGACGUGAAAGCUCUGGGCUCAACCCGGAAAAUGCGUUGAAAACUGUUUCGCUUGAGGGUCAGAGGGGAGACUGGAAUUCUCGGUGUAGCGGUGAAAUGCGUAGAUAUCGAGAGGAACACCAGUGGCGAAGGCGAGUCUCUGGAUGACACCUGACACUGAGGCACGAAAGCUAGGGGAGCGAAC